rnacentral:rRNA from 1 species
CGCGCAGGCGGUUUGGUAAGUCAGAUGUGAAAGCCCGGGGCUUAACCCCGGAAGUGCAUUUGAUACUGCCAAACUUGAGUAUGGGAGAGGGAAGUGGAAUUCCUGGUGUAGAGGUGAAAUUCGUAGAUACCAGGAGGAACACCGGUGGCGAAGGCGACUUCCUGGACCAAUACUGACGCUGAGGCGCGAAGGCGUGGGGAGCAAACA